rnacentral:sRNA from 12 species
ACACCGCCGCGCCGCUUCGGCGUUGCGGGCUGGUGGUCAGCCCGGCUGUCCUGCUUCGGCAAACACACUUCACGGUCCGGCAGAGCGGGGCGUAGCGGGCUUUGCCCGUCGAGACCCGCGGCCGGU